UUAGUACUCCCUCCGUCCCAAAAUAAGUGUCUCAGCUUUGUACUAAGGUUGAGACACUUAUUUUGGGACGGAGGGAGUAUAAU
rnacentral:pre_miRNA from 1 species